rnacentral:rRNA from 1 species
UACGGAGGAUGCGAGCGUUAUCCGGAUUUAUUGGGUUUAAAGGGUGCGUAGGCGGGCUUUUAAGUCAGCGGUAAAAAUUCGGGGCUCAACCCCGUCCGGCCGUUGAAACUGGGGGUCUUGAGUGGGCGAGAAGAAGGCGGAAUGCGUGGUGUAGCGGUGAAAUGCAUAGAUAUCACGCAGAACCCCGAUUGCGAAGGCAGCCUUCCGGCGCCCUACUGACGUUGAGGCACGAAAGUGCGGGGAUCGAACAGG